GCAGUAAAAAGAUCAAAUUUAUUACAGGCAAUUAAUAGAUGAGGGACAUGAUGCUUGCGACAUUUUAAAAUUGUGUCAAACAACAUCAAUCCAACCUCGUGCACAUCCCUGUCAAUUGUAGCACUGUUGAGAACGAAAACUACAGCUUUUACAUUAUAAUUUCCAGAGAAUUUAGUAGUAAUCCAACGUUUGGCCCUGGGAUGCCCUGGAAGAUCUACUAACCAAGCACCAUAUUUCCACACAGCUUCAUUAGGUUCAAUGCUAGGAACUGUAGUUUUCUUUUCUUUAUAAAUUAGCUAUAUAACAGUUAAUAAGUAUUCAAAGAUUGUAUAUUAUUGUUAUACCUCACAAAACAAAGACGUUUUUCCAGAAUCGCUAGGUCCAAUUAAAAACACUGCUGGUAACUUCUU